rnacentral:tRNA from 1 species
AAAUCCGUCCACUUUAAAAAUCGUGAGGGUUCAAGUCCCUCUAUCCCCAA